AGAGCGGGAGCCCGGAGAUGGGCACUGAGAUAAGGGCCCAGGCCCUACGGGGCGCAGCAGUUGCGAAAACUCCGCAAUGCACGAAAGUGUGACGGGGCUACCCCGAGUGCCGUCCGCUGAGGGCGGCUUUUCCCCGGUGUAAGGAGCCGGGGGAAUAAGGAGAGGGCAAGUCUGGUGUCAGCCGCCGCGGUAAUACCAGCUCUCCGAGUGGUAGGGAUAAUUAUUGGGCUUAAAGCGUCCGUAGCCGGCCUGGCAAGUCUUCCGUUAAAUCCAACGAUUCAAUCGUUGGACUGCGGGAGAUACUGUUGGGCUAGGAGGCGGGAGAGGCCGACGGUAUUCUCGGGGUAGGGGUAAAAUCCUAUAAUCCCGGGAAGACCACCAGUGGCGAAGGCGGUCGGCU
rnacentral:rRNA from 1 species